rnacentral:rRNA from 1 species
AAAUUGAAGAGUUUGAUCAUGGCUCAGAUUGAACGCUGGCGGCAGGCCUAACACAUGCAAGUCGAACGGUAACAGGAAGCAGCUUGCUGCUUCGCUGACGAGUGGCGGACGGGUGAGUAAUGUCUGGGAAGCUGCCUGAUGGAGGGGUAUAACUACUGGAAACGGUAGCUAAUACCGCAUAACGUCGCAAGACCAAAGG